CCCAAAGAAAAGCUUUAAGCUGUGGUUUCAGACAGAAGCAGUACCACUGUACCAGGCUCCAGGUCCAACUUUGACGGGGUUUACAGCCCUGAAAGCUCUUCUUGAAUACUCAAAUGCCAAAACCAGAAGCCCGAAGAGGAAAAGUAGAAAGCCAUGGAACUUUUCCGCUAUGAAAUGUGCAGGAGAGGCGACAUUCUUGCCUUCCGUUGAGCUUCUAAUCAAUUCUCAGAACGAUCUUCAAAGAAGAAGAAUGGUCUAAAAGAAUGGAAAUUGGGUAUUUCUAUACCAGGUGUUUCCAUGGUGAGGUAUGUUAUUCGAGGUUCUGAGAAUACCAACAUGAGUAAGGAAAAUGUGAUCCCUCUUCCACAUUGUAGCAAUGUUGUUCCUUAAAGACUUCAAAGCCUGUUGGAUGAGAUUAAAGAGCGACAAAGACUUUAGUUAUUAAGUCUUACAUUCAUCAGACGCAAGAGAGACAGAGAAGUUAAGACCUAGCUAAAUAAGACAGAAGUACCUCUUCUGUUCUCUCGUGGCUUACAAGAUGACCUCCAUGAAGAUCCACCAUUCUAGCGACUGGAUAUAGCCUCUGUGCCAGUCUUCUUGCGUAACAUAUCUGAGCAAUCACAUCAUGUCUGCAUAUAACCCAACACAUUCUCACAUUAACUACUGUGUAAAGGUAAAGAUGCUUUACAAGAUCAACAAACUCAAGACUGAGUGCACAAGGUGACUUUGAUUCUAAUUUCUUUGGUGUUCCGUACCUUCCAUGAAUGACUGAGACAAGAAAUCCAGCCGAGCGGAUUAGUUCAAUCUCUACUUUUGUGAUUUUGUGUAACCAACAAGCGUUAAUUUGGCCAUCAAACCCGUACUUGGACUGCAUUCCAGUUUCUGAUAUUCCUUUUACAUAUUGCUGUAUUGCAUCACUCAAAUAUAAGUCACCUU